CCGGUAAUUGAUGUCCGGAAUUUGGCUGCAGAUGAGUGGAGUUAUCGGGGGUCUCUCUCUCAAGCCCUCUCUGUUCUGUCACCGAGGACACGCUCUCUCUGUUUCGUUCUCUUUCAACCUCUUCCUCGUUUUCUCUUUCCAUUUUCCCAUUUUGCUGAUAUAUACAAUCAGUUUCCUGAUUUCUAUUGGAAAUUCUGAUUGCUUCUGAAAAUGAAAAAUUG
rnacentral:misc_RNA from 1 species